GAGCAUGGCAGCUGAGUUAAAAUGUGGCUGUAACUAUACUGAGUUGUUAGAGCACUAGAAACCUAUGUAACUGUAGGGAAGUGGAGAUCUAAAGGAGAGAUGCCUGUUCUGGUGAGCUUCUGUCUUCCAGUUGUCCUUGGGUCUUUGCACUGUUGCAGUCUUGCUCAAAAGCAGGAAAAUGGAAAAUGAUGCAGCCUGCACGUGAAGCUGAGCAUCACUCUCCUGCCCUGUGCACAGAACGUUGCAGAUGCCAACACCAAUGGGACGCAAAAUUCUGCCCACAGCACUCCCAUGUGUGCUGAUGAGACAAGAACUGACCAGGAAAGGUCUCAACCAGCUGGAAACAAUUCUCUGACCUUUUUUGUGUGAAGUGCAAUGGUGAUAGCACUGUGCAGCGAGGAGUUCUGAAUGAUGGAAAUGCAGAGAUGUCUGCUGAGGUUUGCAUACUGCUGCCGCCACGCAGAGGAGAUCUCAUACUGAAAGUGUGAUCACAGCUGAACCCCCAUAUGGAUUAUUUCAAUGGAAAGUCAAGAAAACAGCUAUUGAUUUCUCUUUCAUGAAUAUAAAGCAGAGAUCUUGUGUAAGAGAAGACAACGUUAAAAUAACCAAGCACCAAAAGGGGCUAAGGGAAAAGCCUGAGGUUAGAGCAGAAAGAAAUGCUUGUAUUCAAAGUUUAUAACUGUUUCGAAAUAAUAAAAACUGUGGUUAAACUAUUUACUUCAAUUAGCUUCAUGGUCAGGAAAACCACCAUCACUUAGAUCCCACUUAUAAAAAUGUGUUCUACACCAUUCUGAAAUCCCAGAAGACAAUAAAAAACUGUGGGCUUUCUGAUGUUUGAGUGUGCUGGGAUUAGGUGCAAGUUGCUGGGCGUUCCUAGAAACACUAUUUCAGAACAUUUGAACACUCCAACUUUUGGAUCGGUCCGUGCAGUUGGGCUACGUGUGCGAUAGGGGUGCCUGGCUGUGAUGAGAUGGACUUGUGAUGCUGCUGCCUUCCCUGAGCUUCACCUCCUCCAGCUGAGCAUUGUGGCCCCGGAGAAGUCAACCAAGAGUUUGCCGUAGACUUAAUGGAGCCAAAAUUCCAUCCCAGGAGAGGAACAACUGAAGUAGAGUGCCACGGGCUGGUGGCCUGUAGCAAUCUCAGGUGAUGCAGGAGCGAAAAUGUCCUUGUCACGUAACUGAUGUCCUCAGCCCAAGGUUCCCCGAUUUCACUUUGGAUUUUCUGCUGCGUUUCUGUUCGUUGUUGUUGCAGCUCUGUGGAUAACGUGUUAAGGGGUUGUUCUUAAGAAAGAAAGAUUUAACUUUUUUAAAGGGACGGGUGAUUUGUAGAAGACGUUUGUGUAAUUUUGUAUUCUAAAUGUGAUUUAUUUUUAUAAAUAAAUUUGCAUAAAAUCU
rnacentral:lncRNA from 7 species